rnacentral:rRNA from 1 species
AGCAGUCGCCGCGGGAAUACGAAGGGUGCAAGCGUUAAUCGGAAUUACUGGGCGUAAAGCGUGCGUAGGCGGUGAGUUAAGUCUGCUGUGAAAUCCCCGGGCUCAACCUGGGAAUGGCAGUGGAUACUGGCUCGCUAGAGUGUGUCAGAGGAUGGUGGAAUUCCCGGUGUAGCGGUGAGAUGCGUAGAGAUCGGGAGGAACAUCAGUGGCGAAGGCGGCCAUCUGGGACAACACUGACGCUGAGGCACGAAAGCGUGGGGAGCAAACAGGAUUAGAUACCCCCGUAGUCCCUGUCUCUUAUAC